AUUGAACGCUGGCGGCAGGCCUAACACAUGCAAGUCGAGCGGAGAUGAGGUGCUUGCACCUUAUCUUAGCGGCGGACGGGUGAGUAAUGCUUAGGAAUCUGCCUAUUAGUGGGGGACAACAUUCCGAAAGGAAUGCUAAUACCGCAUACGUCCUACGGGAGAAAGCAGGGGAUCUUCGGACCUUGCGCUAAUAGAUGAGCCUAAGUCGGAUAGCUAGUUGGUGGGGUAAAGGCCUACCAAGGCGACGAUCUGUAGCGGGUCUGAGAGGAUGAUCCGCCACACUGGGACUGAGACACAGCCCAGACUCCUACGGGAGGCAGCAGUGGGGAAUAUUGGACAAUGGGGGGAACCCUGAUCCAGCCAUGCCGCGUGUGUGAAGAAGGCCUUAUGGUUGUAAAGCACUUUAAGCGAGGAGGAGGCUACUGAGACUAAUACUCUUGGAUAGUGGACGUUACUCGCAGAAUAAGCACCGGCUAACUCUGUGCCAGCCGCCGCAGUAA
rnacentral:rRNA from 1 species